CAAUAGCGUAUAUUAAAGUUGUUGCGGUUAAAAAGCUCGUAGUUGGAUUUCUGUCAAGGACAACUGGUCCGCCCUCUGGGUGAGCACAUAGUUUGGUCUUGGCAUCUUGCUGGAAGCUGUUGCUGCACUUGGCUGUGUGGCGCAGUGUCCAGCACUUUCACUUUGAGGAAAUUGGAGUGUUUCAAGCAGGCACAUGCCUUUGGACACAUUAGCAUGGAAUAAUUAGAUUGGGCUUUAGCUCCAAUUUGUUGGUUUCUGGAGCUGAGGUGAGAAUUAAUGGGGAUUGUUGGGGGCAUCCGAAUUUAGCCGUCAGAGGUGAAAUUCUUGGAUCAGCUGAAGACGGACGACUGCGAAAGCGUUUGCCCAGGAUGUUUUCAUUGA
rnacentral:rRNA from 1 species